rnacentral:rRNA from 1 species
CAGCGCCGCGGUAACACGUAGGGUGCAAGCGUUAAUCGGAAUUACUGGGCGCAAAGCGUGCGCAGGCGGUUAUAUAAGUCAGAUGUGAAAUCCCCGGGCUCAACCUGGGAACUGCAUUUGAGACUGCAUGGCUAGAGUGUGUCAGAGGGGGGUAGAAUUCCACGUGUAGCAGUGAAAUGCGUAGAUAUGUAGAGGAAUACCGAUGGCGAAGGCAGCCCCCUGGGAUAACACUGACGCUCAUGCACGAAAGCGUGGGGAGCAAACAGGAUUAGAUACCCCCGUAGUCCCUGUCUCUUAUAAC